rnacentral:rRNA from 1 species
AUGAACGCUGGCGGCGUGCCUAAUACAUGCAAGUCGAGCGAACGGACGAGAAGCUUGCUUCUCUGAUGUUAGCGGCGGACGGGUGAGUAACACGUGGAUAACCUACCUAUAAGACUGGGAUAACUUCGGGAAACCGGAGCUAAUACCGGAUAAUAUUUUGAACCGCAUGGUUCAAAAGUGAAAGACGGUCUUGCUGUCACUUAUAGAUGGAUCCGCGCUGCAUUAGCUAGUUGGUAAGGUAACGGCUUACCAAGGCAACGAUGCAUAGCCGACCUGAGAGGGUGAUCGGCCACACUGGAACUGAGACACGGUCCAGACUCCUACGGGAGGCAGCAGUAGGGAAUCUUCCGCAAUGGGCGAAAGCCUGACGGAGCAACGCCGCGUGAGUGAUGAGGGUCUUCGGAUCGUAAAACUCUGUUAUUAGGGAAGAACAUAUGUGUAAGUAACUGUGCACAUCUUGACGGUACCUAAUCAGAAAGCCACGGCUAACUACGUG